rfam:Triticum aestivum genome assembly, contig: Triticum_aestivum_CS42_TGACv1_scaffold_328757_4BS
UUUUUACUCCCUCCGUUCCGAAUUACUUAUCGCAGGUAUGAAUGUAUCUAGAUAUAUUUUAGUUCUAGAUAUAUCAAUUUCUGUGACAAGUAAUUCGGAACGGAGGGAGUAUAAG